GUAUAUAUUGUAACAGUAGUUCUUUUGAUUGCUGAGUAGUAUAUUCUGUUGUUUAAUCACCAGUUGGAGGACAUGUGAAUUAUUUUUAGAUUUUGGUAAUUAUGAAUAAAGUUGCUAUAAAAAAUGAGCAUAAAAGUUUUUUGUGUGAAUAUAGUUUACAUUUCUCUCUUACAUUUACAUACUUAGGAGUAGGAUUGCUGAGUCAUAGAGUAAGUGUAUGUUUCACUUUGCAAGAGACUGCUGGUGUUUUCUAGCAUUUGGCAUUCCACUAGUAAUGUAUGAGACUUCUAAUUACUCCACAUUCCUGCCAACAUUUGGACUUGUUAUGUUUUUUGAUUUAGUCAUUCUAAUAGAUACCUAAUGGUAUAUUAGUGAGGUUUACCUUUUCCAUAUUAAUAUUGUAACCUUUAUUGAUACCUUACUGUGUAUCAGAGAAGCUUCAGUAUUUAACUUAAUUUCAGUAAUUCAGUAUUUCAGUAUUUUCAUAUAUUAUGUAAUCCUCUGUGAAAGAUAAAAUGCAUCAAUUAAGGAAAUGAUUUUUAUUCAGGCUAAUGAAAUAGGGAUAACAUUAAUUAAUGAGGACUAUCCCAAAGUAAAGGAAGGGAAUCUACACUUUAAAAAAAAAAAAAGCAGGGGAGGAGGAGCAAGAUGGCAGAGGAGUAAGAGGUCGUGCUCACCUUCUCCCACAAACACAUAAAAAAAAAAAACACAUCUACAUGUAAAGCAACUCACACAGAACAUCAACUGAAUGCUGGCAGAAGAACGUAAACCUCCAAAAAGGGCAAGAAACUCAACAACUGGGUAGAACAAAAGAGGAAAGAGAGAGAGAGAAAAGGAAUCAGGAAGGGACUAGCAUUCCUGAGAGGGAGCUGUGAAGGAAAAAAGGAACCCACAUCCUGGGAAGACACCUGACAGAAAGAUCAGCCAAGACAGAGGGACCUAUAAGUCACUGAGAAAAGAACAGCAUUUGGACUGAGGAGGGCAAAGCAGAGUGAGAGCUGCACAGAUCAUCUGAACCACCAGCCCAGACACCAUAGCCUAAGAUGCUUGGGUGGGGCUGGGUGCUGAGACAUAGGCUCAGGAGGUCAGUCCCAGGGAGAGGACUGGGGUUGGCUGUGUGGAGACAGCUUAAGGGGCAAAGGAGCAGUGUGCCAUGGACUGUGGCAGUCGUCUCAGAGGCCAGAGGGAGGCAUGGCUUGCCACCACUGUGGGCCUGUGAGUAGGCUCCACCUGUGGCUGCAAUCACCCCAGGGGUUUGCAAAAUAGAAAAAAAAAAAAAAAAGAGGGCACUGCAAUCAAGCACCGUAUGCUGUUGCUCUCACUCCCCUGGGAACACACCCACCCUGCUCUGCUACUUCCAAAUGCUCUGGGUGGCACCCAGACACUUGGUCACAGUCCCUUUCCAAGACCCUACAACUAGGGGCAGCUGGUGCAGCACCUUCUGUGUGGGUUAGUGGGACAGAGUGCUUCUUGCAUGAUCUGCAGGUGGUGGAAGCAAACCACCACAGUUAUCAUUGAUUCCAAAGGUGGGUGUGACCCACUGCCACUGGGGAUACCUGAACAAAAAUCACUUGAAGCCCCAACCACCUCAGAGGGCACCACAGGGAAGGACAUUGUGACACACCACCUAUCAUUGCUCUUGCUCCCCUGGGAACACACCUGCCCUGCUGCUGCCACUGCCAAAUGCUCUGGACAGUGCCCAGACACUUGAUUACUGUCCUUUCUAAGGAACCUGCAACUAGGAGCACUUGUGCAGCACCUCGUGUGUGGACUAAGCAGGAUGAGGUGCUUUUUGCAUGGUCUACAGGAAGCUGGGGAAACCACUGUGGUUAUCUCUAGCUCCAGAGGUGGGAGUGGCCUGUCACCACUAGGAGUCCGUGAACAGGAACCACUUGCAUCCCCAAUCACCUCAAUGACACCAAAGAGGAGGAAAUUGUGACUAAACACCACCUGUUGGUGCUCUUGCACCCCUGGGAACACACCGGCCCUGCUGCUGCCAGUGCUGAAUGCUCCAGGCAGUACCCACAUGCCUGAUCUCUGUCAAUUCCCAGGAUCCUACAAAUAGGAGCUGCCCAUGCAGCACCUCCUGUGUUGGCUAGUGAGAUGGGGUGCUUCAUGCAUGACCUACAGGUGGUGGGGGCAAACCAUCACAGUUAUCACUGACUCAAGAGAUGGUCAUGGCCUGCUAGGGGUCCCUGAGCAGUCACCGCCUUCGGUUCCAAACACCUCAAAGGAGGGCAUUGCAAUCGAACACUAGCUAUUGUUGCUCUCAGUUCCUUGGGAACUCAUGCACCCUGCUGCUGCUACUGCCAAAUGCUCUGGCCAACUUGUAGAUCUGCCUAGAGCUCAUUACCACUUCCCAGGGCCCUGAAACAAGGAGUGGCCUGUGGCACCUUACUUCAGGUCCCUGCCUCUUUUGAGAGCACAGUGACCAGGCACUGACUGCUGGCUCUACCCAGCAUUACCUCUUUCUCCCUGAAAACACACUGAGCAUCCUGGGGAUAGCAUCCUACCCACACCGAAGGAAGAGACAGCAAAUAUUCAAACAACCACACCAAAAAUAAAUAGUAGUCUUCCAAAAAAUACAAAGGGCUGCAAAAGACUACAGUUUGGCUUC
rnacentral:lncRNA from 1 species